rnacentral:snRNA from 1 species
GAGGAUGAGAUGUUUCUCCUGCGUA